rnacentral:rRNA from 1 species
AGUGAACGCUGGCGGUAGGCCUAACACAUGCAAGUCGAACGGCAGCACAGUAAGAGCUUGCUCUUACGGGUGGCGAGUGGCGGACGGGUGAGGAAUACAUCGGAAUCUACUUUUUCGUGGGGGAUAACGUAGGGAAACUUACGCUAAUACCGCAUACGACCUACGGGUGAAAGCAGUGGAUCUUCGGACCUUGCGCGAUUGAAUGAGCCGAUGUCGGAUUAGCUAGUUGGCGGGGUAAAGGCCCACCAAGGCGACGAUCCGUAGCUGGUCUGAGAGGAUGAUAGGCCACACUGGAACGGAGACGCGGUCCAGACUCCUACGGGAGGCAGCAGUGGGGAAUAUUGGACAAUGGGCGCAAGCCUGAUCCAGCCAUACCGCGUGGGUGAAGAAGGCCUUCGGGUUGUAAAGACCUUUUGUUGGGAAAGAAAAGCAGCAGGUUAAUACCCCGCUGUUCUGACGGUACCCAAAGAAUAAGCACCGGCUAACUUCGUG